GGUUAAGCUACAAAGAGCACACGGAGGAUGCCUAGGCGCCAGGAGCCGACGAAGGACGUGGCGAACAACGAUAAGGCCUCGGGGAGCUGUAAGCAAGCUUUGAUCCGGGGAUGUCCGAAUGGGGAAACCCGGCUGUCUUCAUCGACAGUCACUUUCUGCUGAAUACAUAGGCAGAAUAGAGGCAGACCAGGGGAACUGAAACAUCUAAGUACCCUGAGGAAGAGAAAACAAUAGUGAUUCCGUCAGUAGCGGCGAGCGAACGCGGAUUAGCCCAAACCAAGGAGCUUGCUCCUUGGGGUUGUGGGACGUCUCACAUGGAGUUACAAAGGAACCGGUUAGAUGAAGAGGUCUGGAAAGGCCCGCCAGAGAAGGUAAAAGCCCUGUAGUUCAAAACUUGUUCCCUCCGAGACGGAUCCCGAGUAGUGCGGGGCACGUGAAACCCCGUAUGAAUCCGGCAGGACCAUCUGCCAAGGCUAAAUACUCCCUGGCGACCGAUAGUGAAGCAGUACCGUGAGGGAAAGGUGAAAAGCACCCCGGAAGGGGAGUGAAAUAGAUCCUGAAACCGUGUGCUUACAAGAAGUCAGAGCCCGAUCUAUGGGUGAUGGCGUGCCUUUUGUAGAAUGAACCGGCGAGUUACGUUCCCGUGCAAGGUUAAGGUGAAGAGCUGAAGCCGCAGCGAAAGCGAGUCUGA
rnacentral:rRNA from 1 species